rnacentral:rRNA from 1 species
UUACGGGUAGCCGGCCUGAGAGGGCGACCGGCCACACUGGGACUGAGACACGGCCCAGACUCCUGCGGGAGGCAGCAGUGGGGAAUAUUGCGCAAUGGGCGAAAGCCUGACGCAGCGACGCCGCGUGGGGGAUGACGGCCUUCGGGUUGUAAACCUCUUUUACCACUCACGCAGGCUCCGGGUUUUCUCGGGGUUGACGGUAGGUGGGGAAUAAGGACCGGCUAACUACGUGCCAGCAGCCGCGGUAAUACGUAGGGUCCGAGCGUUGUCCGGAAUUAUUGGGCGUAAAGAGCUCGUAGGCGGCGUGUCGCGUCUGCUGUGAAAGACCGGGGCUUAACUCCGGUUCUGCAGUGGAUACGGGCAUGCUAGAGGUAGGUAGGGGAGACUGGAAUUCCUGGUGUAGCGGUGAAAUGCGCAGAUAUCAGGAGGAACACCGGUGGCGAAGGCGGGUCUCUGGGCCUUACCUGACGCUGAGGAGCGAAAGCAUGGGGAGCGAACAGGAUUAGAUACCCUGGUAGUCCAUGCCGUAAACGUUGGGCGCUAGGUGUGGGGACUUUCCACGGUUUCCGCGCCGUAGCUAACGCAUUAAGCGCCCCGCCUGGGGGAGUACGGA